AUGCAUUUAACCCACACUGCUUCGUUUUGGCCCAGAUUCUUCUCUAUGUCUCUUCUUGUGUCCCUGAGGAACCCCGGGGGAAAUAAGGCACAUUCCACUUCAAGUCACUCUCCCUCCUGCCAGUCACUUCCCCUCGGCACGUUUGUUUUGCUGGAGGCCUGCUUUCUUCCCUGGGAACCCGGAGGAACAAUGAGCGGUGGCCACGCCCCCGGGGCCCCGCCCCCAUCCUGGACCGCUUCCUCAGCUUCCCCUUGCUCACGCUUGACCCCGGCGGAGACUGCGUUGGAGGCCCCUCCAGCUCGCCUACCAAGUGCGUCAAUCACUUGUUUACUUGCUUUUCCUGCCUGGCUCUGGGGGUUCCGCUGGCUAUUUCUUCCCUCUGGAGGUUCUCCUGAGGUCUUCGGUUACCCACCAAGCAUGGACCCUGCUGGCUUCAUAAUCUCAGUUGCCCAUGUUGACUAAGGGUCUACAAUGGGCCAAGUACUGGAUACAGGUCAAGAAAAACAAAACGCAGGUUGGAAGGAGGCCGGAUACUGGAUGGGCAUAGCCUCACUCCCCCUCCCUCAUGUUCACCUUACUAAAGAAGCAGUAAUGGCUCCCCAGCGUGCAGAGCACUGAAAUGACUAACAGCUGAGCAGGCAGCAACCAAGCAGAGCAGGGCCCUGGCUGUGUUCCCACCGCUAAGUCAUGCAGAAGAGGCCAUCUUUACCUCCUCCGAGCCUCCACAGCAGCUAAUGCUAUUAGGAUAAAAGAUGGGUCCAUUUGGGCCCUAAACCUUGAUGUUCAGGUACUCUACAAGGUCAGUGACUGGAGAGAAAAUGCAAAAGCUGAAGCAGGAGUUUCCAGAGAAGAGGCUGAGCAGCUGUCAAGAAUCAAGAAAUACACCACUCUGGGCAUGUAUGCAUAUUUUAACCAAACAGUCUAUUUCUUCAAAGGACUGCAAAGGGCAAAAGCUUGCCUUCCUUCUAACUUUAUUCCCACACAUCACAGGAGCAAGCUUGCCUGAAACAUAGCAGCUAUUGCUUUCUUUAUUCUCAAUUUGCAAAGAGAUUCUUCCCCAGAUACUUUCAGAAAAAAUUAAGGAGAGUUUGAGGAUGGGAUUGGCAUACAGAGUAUCUUUCCUAUAAUUCUGUGGGCUUUGUCUGAUCAUCUGUCCUGCAAGUUGUAGGAGGCAUUUCUCAGAGCAUCAAUGCUAAGCAAAAUAGAACUCAAAAUAGAACAAUGUGAGGCGUAUCUGGUGGGUGGAAAACUGUCAUAACCUGAGAUUUUGGAAAUUACAGGGAGUUAAGGAGAUGCAGAAGAGGGUAAUAAGGAUGUUUCAGAUAAUGGGAUCAGACAGGACUGACAGCAGAGACUGCUGGGCUCUUCUGGACCACAAGAUCCCUAUAGUUGGGUUGGGAAUGAGGGACACAAAAAGGCAAAACUCAAACCAGCAGUAGCUAUUAAACCAAAGCAAGUUCUGACCAUUAAGCCAAGAGCAGGGAGGGGCUCAUGUGCCAAUAUUUUCUAAUGCAAAUGCAAAAUGGACUAUCAUCAGAAAUAUUUAUUGUCAACAGCAAUGCCCAGGAAUUAUAUAACCUCAUCAACUUUCUUCCUCUGGCCUGUUUCCCCAUAUUUAAAUCUGAAGUCAUACUACUCCCCAGUCUCAGUUGGUGACCCUCCUUUGCUUCCUCAGACCUCCAUGUGUAAUUUUCUAUUAAUGUGUCUGCCUCUCCAACUAGACCAUAAACUCCUAUGGGAUGGGACUGUAUUUUAUUCCUCUGUGGCCUCAAAGCCUGGCACAGAACAUGGCUUGUAGCAGGUGUUCAAUCAACAUUUAUGGACUGAAUAGUCUCCAAAGUCCCAGGAGGACAGAAUCAUAGAAUGACUAGAUUCUGUCCUCCACAGAGUUCACAUGAAGUGUUGGCCUAGUUGCUUCCCUAGGAGCUGUCCGGAUCAGGCUACUUCAGUUGAAACACUGUGGCCUCCCUUCCCCUUCUUUUCUUUUCAGUUCAGUUCAGUUCAGUAGCUCAGUCAUGUCCAACUCUUUGUGACCCCAUGAGUCGCAGCACACCAAGCUUCCCUGUCCAUCACCAACUCCCGGAGUUUACCCAAACUCAUGUGCAUCAAGUCGGUGAUGCCAUCCAGCCAUCUCAUCCUCUGUUGUCCCCUUCUUCUCCUGCCCCCAAUCCCUCCCAGCAUCGGGGUCUUUUCCAAUGAGUCAACUCUUCACAUAAGGUGGCCAAA
rnacentral:lncRNA from 1 species